UACAGAGGUCCCAAGCGUUGUUCGGAUUCACUGGGCGUAAAGGGUGCGUAGGCGGUCAGGUAAGUCUGAUGUGAAAUCUCUGGGCUUAACCCAGAAAUGGCAUUGGAUACUAUUUGGCUUGAGAGUUGGAGGGGGGACUGGAAUUCUUGGUGUAGCAGUGAAAUGCGUAGAUAUCGAGAGGAACACCAGUGGCGAAGGCGAGUCCCUGGACAAAUCCUGACGCUGAGGCACGAAAGCUAGGGGAGCAAACAGG
rnacentral:rRNA from 1 species